UACGUAGGUGGCAAGCGUUGUCCGGAUUUAUUGGGCGUAAAGCGAGCGCAGGCGGUUUCUUAAGUCUGAUGUGAAAGCCCCCGGCUCAACCGGGGAGGGUCAUUGGAAACUGGGAGACUUGAGUGCAGAAGAGGAGAGUGGAAUUCCAUGUGUAGCGGUGAAAUGCGUAGAUAUAUGGAGGAACACCAGUGGCGAAGGCGGCUCUCUGGUCUGUAACUGACGCUGAGGUUCGAAAGCGUGGGGAGCGAACAGG
rnacentral:rRNA from 1 species